ensembl:lncRNA transmembrane protein 273
AGGGAACUGCUGUUUGCAGAGCAACUACUCAGGAUGUGACUGUUGUUUCCUAAUAUAGCCACGUGACCUGGCUUUUUUUUUUUUUUUUUUUUUUAAAAGACACUGCAAAAGAGCUAAAUCCAGAGAACUUCAGUGAAAUCACUCCAUUGCCAAAACCUCAAAAUGAUCUCACUAACAAGCUGGAUAUCAGUCCUAACAACAUUUCUUCUUUUCUUACAUUUUUGGACAGCAAAUGUCUAUGCCUCUGGAAAUUCAGAGGAGGAAAUAGAUUUCACGUAUGUUAUCAUAGGAGUUACUCUGGGAGCCUUUCUAGCAAUUGCUUUUGUAGCAGUAAUAAUCUGUAUGAUCAGAAAACAAAUGCUUGACAAUGUCUUUGGAGAGUCAGAUGGCAAAAUGGAUAGAAGGUCAAAUAUGGGAUCAAGUCAGAACAGAGAAGACGUCAACAUAUCAGGGCAAAAAAGUACAAACGAUCAAUAAUCCUUUUGCAAUCGACAGUUACCUGGUCUGAGGAUCAAUGGAAACCUCUUGUCCACAGGCAGGAAUCUCACCAAUAAUAAUUCCUUUGCUUGUUCUGUAACUGAAAGACUGACUGAUUGAUUACAGGAAGAGUUUACAGUGUAUGCUAACUUCAAUCAUCUGCACACAAAAAGCCUGCAAUCCCAAAUACCAUGGAUAUGAACAAAAUGUAUGAGGAAAAUAGAAAAGAUGAGGUCUUCUCAUUAAUAGGCCCUGUUUAGCCUGGUAUAAGUAUAUGAUUGAUUUCUAAAAUCAGUUAAAUCCAGAGUAAUCAAAAAGCUAGCAAUACAUUUCAGCAGCAGAAUUCAUAACCACACUUGUACUUCCAGUAAGGCAAAUAAUGAAUGAAGUGACUCAGAAAAGCAGUCAUCUGACGUCAAGCAAAACAAGAUUUCUCAAGUUUUUCAGGAAAAAUAUUUUGUGUUGAUCUAAAAAUAUUUCGUUUAUGCUGAAGUAAUAUCUCUUUUUAACUUUAGGAUUGGCUUCUUUUGUUUAACUUUAGGCCGUGAUGCUAAUUUCAGUAAUUUUAAGUGAACUGGGGUCAUUUAAAAUAAAAAAUACCACUUUGAAAUAAAGUUUUAAUGU